GACCAGACUCCUACGGGAGGCAGCAGUGGGGAAUAUUGGGCAAUGGGCGAAAGCCUGACCCAGCAAUGCCGCGUGAAUGAAGAAGGUCUUAGGAUUGUAAAAUUCUUUCCUAUGGGAAGAAACAAAUGACGGUACCAUAGGAGGAAGCCCCGGCUAACUACGUGCCAGCAGCCGCGGUAAUACGUAGGGGGCGAGCGUUGUCCGGAAUUACUGGGCGUAAAGGGCGCGUAGGCGGGAUGGCAAGUCAGAUGUGAAAUCCAAGGGCUCAACCCUUGAACUGCAUUUGAAACUGUCGUUCUUGAGUACUGGAGAGGUUGACGGAAUUCCUAGUGUAGCGGUGAAAUGCGUAGAUAUUAGGAGGAACACCAGUGGCGAAGGCGGUCAACUGGACAGCAACUGACGCUGAGGCGCGAAAGCGUGGGGAGCAAACAGGAUUAGAUACCCCCGUACUA
rnacentral:rRNA from 1 species